CAAGUCCACCCCCACCUCUGCUUGUAGAAAUAAAAAGUGCAGAUUUAUGAGAGGGGAUGGGUCUACCUGGAGUGACUUGAGGAAUACCCAGAAGACCCCGUCCACCUCCUCCUGCUUAGAAUAUGCCUUUUGCUAGCCUGCUGUGAUGCCUGGAAUUUCAUCCUUCACCCAUGUGCUGCAGGACAAGAGGAGGGCCAGAAAGCUCUGCCCAUGCCUGGGGAGCAUGCUGGAUCUCCCUUCCAGCUACAGAAGAGGUCAGCACCCUGCCCCCGCUGGCCGUCUUGCUCGAACCUCUGAGAGACCUCUUGGCAACAUGCUGUCCCUCCUAAUUGUCUUCCUCGGUCACCACUGCAGACCAAGGCUUCCAGGUCUAUGGUUUCUUAGACAUGCGUGGAUUCUCACAGCCACCACCACAGACAGUACAAGCAACAGUUCUAAUACUCCAGAGAACGCCCUCAUCUCUCCUCACCCCUGCCUUCUGGCAAGCAAUGAGCUGUUCUCUGUUCCUGUAUUUUUGCCUUUUCUAGAAUGCCAUAUAAAUGGAAUUAUAUAGAAUGUGCCCUUUUGGUACUG
rnacentral:lncRNA from 1 species